UUUCCGUAGGUGAACCUGCGGAAGGAUCAUUAAUGAGUUGUCAUGGGGUUCGAUGCUGGCAGCCAAUUUUUGGAUGCAUGUGCUUGCCCUAACAAUCAUCUUCCAAACACCUGUGCACAUUUUUGAGGGAGUCUUGAGUUGGUUGCCGCUCCUGGGUGAUUUUCUCACAUUCCCCUAAAUCAUUAUACGCUAUUAACAAUGUUGAACGUGCUCUGUGCCGCAAGGCUAUUAAUAUAAUACAACUUUUAACAACGGAUCUCUUGGCUCUC
rnacentral:misc_RNA from 1 species